AAGCCACCGCUGGGUGCCCAGCUUGGUGCCAGCAACACAAGGGGCGCCUGAGAGAAGAGGGGUUGACCUGCCUUCCAGGACCCUGUUCUCUGUCUGGAGGGUGAGACCCCAGAACGUUCUGAAAACUUGGAACCUAAAAAGAAGAAAUACAUUGCUCCAGGAUACAAUGAGUGCUUCCAACGUAGUCAAGAAAGACAAGUUAAUGUAUAAAACCAUCAAAUAAACACAACCAUCCCUGAGCUAACAUCUGCUGCCAAUCCUCCUCUUUUUGCUGGGGAAGACUGGCCCUGAGCUAGCAUCCAUGCCUAUCUUCCUCUACUUUAUAUGUUUGAUGCCUACCACAGCAUGGCGUGCCAAGUGGUGCCAUGUCCACACCCAGGAUGUGAACCAGCGAACCCCAGGCUGCUGAGAAGUGGAACAAGCGCACUUAACCGCUGUGCCACCAGGCCGGCCCCUCUGACUGAUCUUGAGAAAGUUAUUGAACUACUAGUGCCUCAGUUUCUUCAUUUUACAGGAGUCUCCUGAGACUGGGAGCCAGGGGUACUGGGGUCCUCCAGGCCACAGGCAGUGGAAGAGACCAGUUCAACUCAAGUCAAUGCACUGUGCUUGGAGUCUGGGAUCCAAGUUAAUCCAACAAGUGUGUAAUUCGAGCAUCUACCACCAUGAGGCCCUGUGCAAGAUUUGCAGAGGUAGAGGUUGUGUGAAACCAAAGGUAUUCCUGACCGCUGCUCUGUUUUGCCAUGGCUAACGGCUCCAUCGUUCUGAAGCACCAGCUGGCUGGGGAGCGCUCUCUGGCAACUGAUUAGUCCACAGCCCUGCCUCGCUGGUUCUGCAGCUUUCUCCAAUGCCGAUGACUGAAAACAUGCCUUUCCCAAUGAGGAAAAUAUGUCAUAUUUAGUUCCCAAGUUAUGUUUCAUGUUUACAACGGUCUUCUCAUCAUCGUUAGUUGGAUUAAAUUUAGUGAUUACAAAGAUUUUUGUUUUUAUCAAUAAUACCCUUGAUCUUGAAAAACAAGAGCAAUUUAAACAGACCCAGAUGCCCUAAACUCCAGCACAUGUUUGUUGUAUUUUUUUUUUAAUCGCAUUGUAUUUGAGGCUG
rnacentral:lncRNA from 1 species